GAUGAACGCUGGCGGCGUGCCUAAUACAUGCCAGUAGAACGCUGAAGGAGGAGCUUGCUCUUCUGGAUGAGUUGCAAACGGGUGAGUAACGCGUAGGUAACCUGCCUGGUAGCGGGGGAUAACUAUUGGAAACGAUAGCUAAUACCGCAUGACAACAGUUAUUGCAUGAUAACUGUUUAAAAGGGGCAACUGCUCCACUACCAGAUGGACCUGCGUUGUAUUAGCUAGUUGGUGAGGUAACGGCUCACCAAGGCGACGAUACAUAGCCGACCUGAGAGGGUGAUCGGCCACACUGGGACUGAGACACGGCCCAGACUCCUACGGGAGGCAGCAGUAGGGAAUCUUCGGCAAUGGACGGAAGUCUGACCGAGCAACGCCGCGGGAGUGAAGAAGGUUUUCGGAUCGUAAAGCUCUGUUGUAAGAGAAGAACGAGUGUGAGAGUGGAAAGUUCACACUGUGACGGUAUCUUACCAGAAAGGGACGGCUAACUACGUG
rnacentral:rRNA from 1 species